AGUGAACGCUGGCGGUAGGCCUAACACAUGCAAGUCGAACGGCAGCACAGUAAGAGCUUGCUCUUACGGGUGGCGAGUGGCGGACGGGUGAGGAAUACAUCGGAAUCUACUUUUUCGUGGGGGAUAACGUAGGGAAACUUACGCUAAUACCGCAUACGACCUACGGGUGAAAGCAGGGGAUCUUCGGACCUUGCGCGAUUGAAUGAGCCGAUGUCGGAUUAGCUAGUUGGCGGGGUAAAGGCCCACCAAGGCGACGAGCCGUAGCUGGGCUGAGAGGAUGAUCAGCCACACUGGAACUGAGACACGGUCCAGACUCCUACGGGAGGCAGCAGUGGGGAAUAUUGGACAAUGGGCGCAAGCCUGAUCCAGCCAUACCGCGUGGGUGAAGAAGGCCUUCGGGUUGUAAAGCCCUUUUGUUGGGAAAGAAAAGCAGCAGGUUAAUACCCCGCUGUUCUGACGGUACCCAAAGAAUAAGCACCGGCUAACUUCGUG
rnacentral:rRNA from 1 species